AAGAAGUUUUAAACUCUUUGUUUCCUUCACAGCUCUUUGGUAUCUGCUGUGCUGCUGCUUCACUCUCUCUCUUUACAGAAAGUUGUAGAAGUUUUCAGACGUGUCACUGCUGGAUGUGAGGAUGGGAGCCACUUUGCUCUGUGAGCUGGGCCUAUUCUUGCUCUGUACGCUCCUCUGCACUGGACACGCUCAAGAUGCUGUGCUAACUAUUGAACCCAGCUGGUCCAGUUUUUUCAUCGGAGAGUUUGUUACUUUCAAAUGUGACAUGAAUGAAGGAGAAGAUACUGACUGGUAUUGCGAAAUCAGUGCUUUGGACACAUGAAGGGAUCAUAUAAUACAAAGAUCAGUAAUACUGUCUCUAUAACUGUAUCAGCAGAUAAACCCAGGGCCACACUGACAGCAGGAACAACAAUCAUACCAGUAG